GCAUGCUCAAGGGUCUGCCCGUUCUUGGAGAUACCAGCUUCAAAUUCACCAACACCAGCACAACAAUCAGGAUAGCACAGUCAGCCUGGGAUGUACCUGUAAUCAUGUUUUUGAUGAAGUCUCUGUGUCCUGGGGCAUCAAUGAUGGUCACAUAGUAUUUGCUGGUCUUGAAUUUCCACAGGGAGAUGUCAAUAGUGAUACCAUGCUCACGCUCAGCUUUCAGUUUGUAUAAGACCCAGGUGUACUUGAAGGAGCCCUUUCCCAU
rnacentral:lncRNA from 1 species